AGUGAAGAGAUGCAAUGACCAACGUAUUUAAUCUUACUAAGAAAUACCAGUGAAGCCAAAACCAAGUGAUUUAAACUAGAUGACCUACUAUAUUUGAAUCUUGUUGAGAGAGUCUGUGAAAAAUGGCACCAUAAUUCAUGCCAGUUGGGCUUGGUCCCAUGACGAGAGGAAUGUUUUUUAAUGGUGUUUGGUCCUUCAUUCCAAAACUUUGUCUGAAACUUCACAAUGUUUGUCCCAUGGGUACGAGUUAGUUAGGGCGCUACUGCUAAUCCUAGUCUGGUUUUCACUUAACCAUUUUGUGAACGUUUACUGUGAUGGUGUUCUUUUAAAUCUGUUCGUUUCUAGCACAUUGUCAUAAAUUUGACUUGUUUUUUGAAACCAAAAAACA